GCUCCCGAAAGUUUCCCUUCCUCCUCUCUCGCGAAAGAAACAGAGUCUUCCAGAACUCCAAAAUUCCUCACCGCCGGCCACUCCUUUCUCUUUCCCGGUGACCAUCCGAGUUGAAUUGGGAGAAGGUCCCUCCCCUUGUAUAGCUGUAGUUUUAAGGGUCUCACUAAAUCAGGUUUUGCUUCGAGCUUGCCGAGCAUCUCUCCUUCUAGAUCUGGCCGUGUAGGUCAUCGGAGACAGAGAGGAUAGCGGCGGUUGCUGCCAUGUCCAAGCAGCGGAGGAUUUUUGCUGGUGGUGAGCCGCUCGUUCACGGCGGCGCUGGCACCAACUACCCCGACCUAUUGUGUCCUCUCUCAACCACUAUCUCCUCUGUGAUAAGAUAGAUGAAGCAAGAGCUCGAGAGCUAAUAUUGUUGCUGCAGGAGACAAGGCUAUACUAUGCUUGAUGAAUGAUUCCAUGACCUGAGAGAUGCCUAAGUUAUGUAAGUCGUGCCUAAAAAAAUUCUUCUCUUCAUGGCGAGCGCUACUGCCACUUCCACAUAUUUCACAAUUUGUAAUUAUUGGUUGCGGUGCUUGCAUGCCUUGCCAUUGAGGAACCCAAUGUUGGAAGGAGACCGGCGCACCUCACAUAAAUUUCCAAUAGUAAUUUAGCUUGGUGGACAAGGCCAUUCUAUUUUUGUCUUCUGCUUUGCUUGUGUUUUGUAAGUUCUUUAUUCCUUCUAUCAAUGAAAUCGACAACUCUCCUGUUGUGUCAUCAAACUAAACUGGAACCUAUAUCCCUUUUGAAGAUGAUUUUGAGGCAUGAAUGUUUCUUUCUAUAUUGCAGUGUCAAUUAUUCAUGUACAUGCAACCAUUUUUGAACUAUAAUGCACUCGCAAACUGUUUAAGCAACAUUUAGUAUUGGUUUGUUACACUUGCAAUACGCAGAUUGAUAUGCCUCAAAAUACGUUUAUGUGAUAGGUGACGAAAGAGGAAAUUUUCUAACACGUUGAGCCCCAUCAGAUUGGAGCCAAAGAUGAAACCAGUAGUCGCUAACUCCAUUGCACAGAUUUCUUAUUGAGGCAUUGUCGUUCUUUCAUUAUUCAUAUUAAGGUUAGGUUAGAGUGAUGUGCUUAAUGAUCACCAUUUCUAGCAGAGAGUGGUGUGUGUGCUGGAGGUGGAGCAGAUGUUAAGUGACAAUGAUUCGAAGAGACAGAUUUGGAGUCCGAGCUAAACCUGGUUUCAUCACAAUUGCCAAAUAUGUGGAUGUAUUUGCAAUUGCCACAUGCUCUCUGUCCAAAGAUAUAGGACGUAGCAAACAAUGAGAAACCCGACAAGGAGACAACAAAUAUUAUUGCAAGGUGAAGAUGGAGAAAAAAAAGACUUUGGCUUAGAAGAAGGUUAUAUUGGCAGGAAACUGUAUGAUUCUUCUGAAGAGUACCUAUAAAAUAUAUGUCAUUGCU